rnacentral:misc_RNA from 1 species
UUCCACGGUGGCGUGAAUUCCGCACGGCAGGUCAAGACGAGGAGCAGCUUGGUGGUCGGAAUUUGUUCGAUGAGCAGCGUGAGAAAUUCCAACGAGGACGGGUCCACCCAGUGGAGAUCUUCCCACACUGAGACCGUCGCUUGUCGCUCGGCCUGGGCUAUUAGCAACUGUAACAACGCUUGCAGUGUCCUUUCUUUCUGCUUCUGCGGCGUGAGAUUGAGCGGUGGAUACUGGGAUGGAGUAGGGAGCGACAGCAGCUCCGUAAAGAGCGGUGCGGUCUGCUGCAUUUCGUAGCGAGCUAAUGCCUGUUCGAGCUUGGUGAUCUUUUCUUCGUCGGUAUCCUGCCGCGUCAAGAGCAAGGUGCGCUGGA